GAUGAACGCUGGCGGCGUGCUUAACACAUGCAAGUCGAACGGGAAUUCUUUUAUUGAACCUUCGGUCGAUAUGAUUUAAUUCUAGUGGCGGACGGGUGAGUAACGCGUGGGUAACCUGCCUUGUACAGGGGGAUAACAGUCAGAAAUGGCUGCUAAUACCGCAUAAGCGCACAGAGCUGCAUGGCUCCGUGUGAAAAACUACGGUGGUAUAAGAUGGACCCGCGUUGGAUUAGCUUGUUGGCAGGGUAACGGCCUACCAAGGCGACGAUCCAUAGCCGGCCUGAGAGGGUGAACGGCCACAUUGGGACUGAGACACGGCCCAGACUCCUACGGGAGGCAGCAGUGGGGAAUAUUGCACAAUGGGGGAAACCCUGAUGCAGCGACGCCGCGUGAAGGAAGAAGUAUCUCGGUAUGUAAACUUCUAUCAGCAGGGAAGAGAUUGACGGUACCUGACUAAGAAGCCCCGGCUAACUACGUG
rnacentral:rRNA from 1 species